CCUACGGGAGGCUGCAGUGGGGAAUAUUGCGCAAUGGGCGAAAGCCUGACGCAGCAACGCCGCGUGCGGGAUGAAGGCCUUCGGGUUGUAAACCGCUUUCAGUGGGGACGAAAUUGACGGUACCCACAGAAGAAGCCCCGGCCAACUACGUGCCAGCAGCCGCGGUAACACGUAGGGGGCGAGCGUUGUCCGGAUUUAUUGGGCGUAAAGCGCUCGUAGGCGGCUCAGUAAGUCAGGUGUGAAAACUCCAGGCUCAACCUGGAGACGCCACCUGAUACUGCUGUGGCUAGAGUCCGGUAGGGGAGCAUGGAAUUCCUGGUGUAGCGGUGAAAUGCGCAGAUAUCAGGAGGAACACCAGUGGCGAAGGCGGUGCUCUGGGCCGGAACUGACGCUGAUGAGCGAAAGCGUGGGGAGCAAACAGGAUUAGAUACCCCUGUAGU
rnacentral:rRNA from 1 species